UUGUCAGUUUGGCGAACCUCAGCUAAAUAAAUUCUAAGAUUUAUAGCGGGUCCUUAGGCUAGCUGAAUAUGUACUAUGGAGAUGCAUCGACAUCUGGCAAUCAUCUUGUUCACAGUGUGCGGUCUUUGUGUAGCAAGCCACGGGACAGAAUCCGUUGGAGUGUUUACUAUUGCGUGCCGCUGCUAUAUUUUUUUCAAGGAGAGCUAUACGGUUACUCUAUGCCUUUGUUUAGGUAAACGUUUAUCCCUUGACCGCGGCUACGUUGGCGAUUGAUUGUCGCCUCGGGCCCAAGCUCACUGUUACAAAUCUCAAAUAAACACAAUCGGAUUGAAUGACAAUUAUUUAAUUAUGGCUAUGGUAAAAUCCGGAUUACAAUAUCACGGGAUUCUCCCCAAGUUCCAAAGGAAGGCUCCGGUGUUCUUUCAUCUCCGACAUAUAUAUGUAUAUGAAUAUUUCAGAAUA